UAGGAAUUCAAGAAAGAACUCGAGUUCUACUUUUGCAGUGAAGAACAGAGAACACCUGAGGAAGCUGAGAAUGAAAUGAGCCCACUAGGACUUAGCAACCAUCUUGCUGAGGAAGGAGAUUGUGGAACAUCUAAGUAGAGCUCUGCUAAAGCUAAUUAAGCACCUUCUCAUGUAUCUUUAUUCACUGCAAUCCUCUGUGCUCACUCCACAUAGUCACCUACCAUCCAAGUCUUUGAAAAGCAGGGGAACCUGCACAUAUUAGCCUUUCGUGAGUCAGAUCUUCCUUGAAGGGAAAAAAAUAUAAAGGAUCUAAGUAUAAACCAGCUCUCAGGAUGGAGUGAGGGAGAGAUUCCAAACUUUUCCAUGACAGGAUGCCAUCUCCUCCCUGCUCUCAAGUUCAUGUUGUGAAUAUUGCCUGCAUUCUUCUUAAUAAAAGAACUAACUCAUUUCCA